rnacentral:rRNA from 1 species
UGGGGAAUUUUGGACAAUGGGGGCAACCCUGAUCCAGCCAUUCCGCGUGAGUGAAGAAGGCCUUCGGGUUGUAAAGCUCUUUCAGCUGGAACGAAACGGUGCGCUCUAACAUAGCGUGCUAAUGACGGUACCAGCAGAAGAAGCACCGGCUAACUACGUGCCAGCAGCCGCGGUAAUACGUAGGGUGCGAGCGUUAAUCGGAAUUACUGGGCGUAAAGCGUGCGCAGGCGGAUUGUUAAGCAAGACGUGAAAUCCCCGGGCUUAACCUGGGAAUGGCGUUUUGAACUGGCAGUCUAGAGUGCGUAAGAGGGGGGUGGAAUUCCACGUGUAGCAGUGAAAUGCGUAGAGAUGUGGAGGAACACCGAUGGCGAAGGCAGCCCCCUGGGAUGACACUGACGCUCAUGUACGAAAGCGUGGGUAGCAAACAGG